AGUGAACGCUGGCGGUAGGCCUAACACAUGCAAGUCGAACGGCAGCACAGUAAUAGCUUGCUCUUACGGGUGGCGAGUGGCGGACGGGUGAGGAAUACAUCGGAAUCUACUUUUUCGUGGGGGAUAACGUAGGGAUACUUACGCUAAUACCGCAUACGACCUACGGGUGAAAGCAGGGGAUCUUCGGACCUUGCGCGAUUGGAUGAGCCGAUGUCGGAUUAGCUAGUUGGCGGGGUAAAGGCCCACCAAGGCGACGAUCCGUAGCUGGUCUGAGAGGAUGAUCAGCCACACUGGAACUGAGACACGGUCCAGACUCCUACGGGAGGCAGCAGUGGGGAAUAUUGGACAAUGGGCGCAAGCCUGAUCCAGCCAUACCGCGUGCGUGAAGAAGGCCUUCGGGUUGUAAAGCCCUUUUGUUGGGAAAGAAAAGCAGUAGGUUAAUACCCCGGUGUUCUGACGGUACCCAAAGAAUAAGCACCGGCUAACUUCGUG
rnacentral:rRNA from 1 species